UGAUGUCGAGUGGCGGACGGGUGAGUAAUACUUAGGAACAUGCCUUUGGGUGGGGGAUAACUAUUGGAAACGAUAGCUAAUACCGCAUAACGUCUACGGACCAAAGGGGGCUUCGGCUCCCGCCCAAAGAGUGGCCUAAACGAGAUUAUCUUGUUGGGGAGGUAAAGGCUCACCAAGGCGACGAUCUCUAGCUGUUCUGAGAGGAAGAUCAGCCACACUGGAACUGAGACACGGUCCAGACUCCUACGGGAGGCAGCAGUGGGGAAUAUUGCACAAUGGGCGCAAGCCUGAUGCACCCAUGCCGCGUGUGUGAAGAAGGCCUUCGGGUUGUAAAGCACUUUCAGUUGUGAGGAAAGGUUAACGGUUAAUACCCGUUAGCUGUGACGUUAGCAACAGAAGAAGGACCGGCUAACUCCGUGCCAGCAGCCGCGGUAAUACGGAGGGUCCGAGCGUUAAUCGGAAUUACUGGGCGUAAAGCGCACGCAGGCGGUUUGUUAAGCUAGAUGUGAAAGCCCUGGGCUCAACCUGGGAAUUGCAUUUACAACUGGCAGGCUAGAGUUUUGGAGAGGGGAGUGGAAUUCCAGGUGUAGCGGUGAAAUGCGUAGAUAUCUGGAGGAACAUCAGUGGCGAAGGCGACUCCCUGGUCAGUAACUGACGCUCAUGUGCGAAAGUGUGGGUAGCGAACAGGAUUAUAUACCCUGGUAGUCCACACCGUAAACGCUGUCUACUAGCUGUUUGUGG
rnacentral:rRNA from 1 species